rnacentral:rRNA from 1 species
AGAGUUUGAUCCUGGCUCAGGAUGAACGCUGGCGGCGUGCCUAACACAUGCAAGUCGAACGAAGCGCCUUACCGGAUUCUUCGGAUGAAGGUCUGGUGACUGAGUGGCGGACGGGUGAGUAACGCGUGGGUAACCUGCCCUGUACAGGGGGGAUAACAGCUGGAAACGGCUGCUAAUACCGCAUAAGCGCACGAGGAGACAUCUCCUAGUGUGAAAAACUCCGGUGGUACAGGAUGGGCCCGCGUCUGAUUAGCUGGUUGGCAGGGUAACGGCCUACCAAGGCAACGAUCAGUAGCCGGUCUGAGAGGAUGAACGGCCACAUUGGAACUGAGACACGGUCCAAACUCCUACGGGAGGCAGCAGUGGGGAAUAUUGCACAAUGGGGGAAACCCUGAUGCAGCAACGCCGCGUGAGUGAAGAAGUAUUUCGGUAUGUAAAGCUCUAUCAGCAGGGAAGAUAAUGACGGUACCUGACUAAGAAGCUCCGGCUAAAUACGUGCCAGCAGCCGCGGUAAUACGUAUGGAGCAAGCGUUAUCCGGAUUUACUGGGUGUAAAGGGUGCGUAGGUGGCAGUGCAAGUCAGAUGUGAAAGGCCGGGGCUCAACCCCGGAGCUGCAUUUGAAACUGCUCGGCUAGAGUACAGGAGAGGCAGGCGGAAUUCCUAGUGUAGCGGUGAAAUGCGUAGAUAUUAGGAGGAACACCAGUGGCGAAGGCGGCCUGCUGGACUGUUACUGACACUGAGGCACGAAAGCGUGGGGAGCAAACAGGAUUAGAUACCCUGGUAGUCCACGCCGUAAACGAUGA